ensembl:lncRNA
AAAACACUCUCCUCCCUAAUGCGGGUGGCUCUCCUCCAAUCAUUAGUUGAGGGUUUGAACAGAACAAAAAGGCAGACUCUCCUGUGAUUAAGAGAGAAUUCUUCCCAUUUGACUCCUUGAGCUGGGACAUCACUAUUUUCCUGCUUUUGGAUUCCAACUGAAGCACCAGCUUUUCUUGGGUUGCAAGCCUUCUGGCUUUCAUACUGAAACUACAUCAUCAACUCUCUUAAGUCUCCAGCUUGCCAACUGAAGAUCUUCAGACUUCUCAGCCUCCAUAAUUGUCUACGUUGGAAGCCUGUUUCAGCCUGAACAUGUUAAGUCCAGUCCUCAGCAAGGUGCACAGUCUCACCCAGCUCAACUUGUUUCCUUUUUCAUUAAAAAAUAUUCAUUUAGCUG